UACGUAGGGUGCAAGCGUUGUCCGGAAUUACUGGGCGUAAAGGGCUCGUAGGCGGCCAACUAAGUCAUACGUGAAAUCCCUCGGCUUAACCGGGGAACUGCGUCUGAUACUGGAUGGCUUGAGUUCGGGAGAGGGAUGCGGAAUUCCAGGUGUAGCGGUGAAAUGCGUAGAUAUCUGGAGGAAUACCGGUGGCGAAGGCGGCAUCCUGGACCGACAUUGACGCUGAAAACCGAAAGCUAGGGGAGCAAACGGG
rnacentral:rRNA from 1 species